ACCUGGGUGGCUCAGUCGGUUAAGCAGCUGACUUUGGCUCAGAUUAUGAUCUCACGGUUCAUGGGUUCAAGCCCCAUGUCAGGCU
rnacentral:tRNA from 1 species